rnacentral:rRNA from 1 species
GAUGAACGCUGGCGGCGUGCCUAAUACAUGCAAGUCGAGCGAACAGACGAGGAGCUUGCUCCUCUGACGUUAGCGGCGGACGGGUGAGUAACACGUGGAUAACCUACCUAUAAGACUGGGAUAACUUCGGGAAACCGGAGCUAAUACCGGAUAAUAUAUUGAACCGCAUGGUUCAAUAGUGAAAGACGGUUUUGCUGUCACUUAUAGAUGGAUCCGCGCCGCAUUAGCUAGUUGGUAAGGUAACGGCUUACCAAGGCAACGAUGCGUAGCCGACCUGAGAGGGUGAUCGGCCACACUGGAACUGACACGGUCCAGACUCCUACGGGAGGCAGCAGUAGGGAAUCUUCCGCAAUGGGCGAAAGCCUGACGGAGCAACGCCGCGUGAGUGAUGAAGGUCUUCGGAUCGUAAAACUCUGUUAUUAGGGAAGAACAAAUGUGUAAGUAACUAUGCACGUCUUGACGGUACCUAAUCAGAAAGUCACGGCUAACUACGUG